rnacentral:rRNA from 1 species
ACGUAGGACGCAAGCGUUAUCCGGAAUUACUGGGCGUAAAGGGCGUGCAGGCGGUUUCCUAAGUCAGGCGUGAAGGCCACGGGCUAAACCUGGGGAGGACGUUUGAUACUGGGGGACUAGAGUGUGUAGAGGGGUGUAGAAUUCCGGGUGUAGUGGUGAAAUGCGUAGAUAUUGGGAAGAACACCGGUGGCGAAGGCGGCCAUCUGGCUCGAUCCUGACGCUGAGGCGCGAAAGCGUGGGGAGCAAACGG